CACAUGGAGCAUGCCCACAUCAAACCUGCAUGACACUGGGGUGGGGCAGAGGAGUUCUGGAGCCCCAGGCGCAAGGGAGAGAAGGGCACACCCUGGGAACCAUCCCAGGCUGGGACCAGAGGCCCCAGGAAGAAAGGAUGGUAGACAAGACCAGCACCCCAGGCAGCUCAGCACAAAAGAUAGCAUGUGUGGCAGGUUCCGGGACAUAAAUGGCAUUGUGCAUUCAUGUGUGAGCUUGUGUGCCUCAAGGGGUUGUGGCAUGUUGGGACAGUAUGUAUGUGCUAUGCACACGUGCCUUCAAAGCACACGAGUGUACAUGUGGCAUGCAUAAUUGGAGCUUUAUACCAUCUGCAGAGCUUGAAGCCUGUUCUCCAAUUGGAAAUGACAAAACCUGCAGCCUGAAUUUCUCUUGUCUUCCAAGGAGGGGCUGGCGAGAGGCAGGACCCUAGAAGAUGAGUUCAGAGAUGGCAGGAUGCUGUCUGACCUCUGUGGUCCCCAGCACUUGAAUGUGUGGGUGAAGCCAAGGAUCGGUAUGUUGCCAUCCUUCUGACCAGCAUCACAGUGAAGCCAGACUUGGCCAGGGAUUCUUGAGUCUGCCAUGGUGUGGAAUCUUGGACAAGCCAGACAACAAUUCUGGGUCUCGAUUCCAAAACAACUGACUGCGUUCUCUGAUUUUAGUUUCAUGGCUGUGGGUUGGAUGCAGGCUGAAGACCAAGAAACAGACCUGUGUUCAACUACUGGGAUCCAAUCAAUGGCACAAAUAUCAGCCACUGACUGUAAAUAUCCAGGUUACAUAGAUACGUGGAACCACAUAUGUGAAAUAAACGAAAAAGAAAAAUGCAGAAUAGUAAGUGCACAUUGACUGUAAUGAUGCAAAAAUCUUCCAUUUAGGAUGGUUUCCCCAGCAGAUGGCAGAUUCCAGGGGAGUUAA